GUGUGUGUGUUGCGGGGGAGUGCUCUGCAGCUCCCACUGUGGGAGGUCCACCCAAAAAUGUGGGGCUGAAAUAGCAUCCAGGAACUGAUCCCCAGGGUGUCACGAGAGAGAGCCAGGGCCAUCAGGAGCAGCACGGCCCUCCUGCGAUCCAUCAUCACCCUCCCUGAGUUCCACAACUCAGCCGAAUUCCCCAGGAUGGGUCACCACGUGGCACAGCUGGCUCUGUUCGUCGGUGACCCAGCCAAGGACAUCAGCCGGCAGGCCAGGGAGGGGGUUCACCGGCUCUACCAGCUGCUGCUGCACCAGAGGGACCUGACCAUCCACGAGGCCGAAGACCAGCACCUUGGACAGAGCAGUGCUGAGCAGUACUGCACCCGGCCGUGCAGUCGCUGAGACAAAUUGCAACCAGCCCUUGAGACGAGGGGCCUGACUUUGGGGUUGUGUUUGGCCACUGAGGCAGGUGCAAGGACUGUUGCUAACACCCCCUCUGACCCGUGGAAUGGGGUGAGGCUGGACUAGGGGGAAUUCUGCUGGAGGGCAGUGGCCUGAAGAAGGACGUUGUCAAGCGGAGAAAAACGCGGGUCCAGAUGCCAACGGAGGACAAGAGAGGGAUGGGACACUGCCAGCAGAGGGCACUCCCCAUGGACUGAUCUAAUUCCCGGAGCGACCAGCAGGAGGCACCGCGGUGGUGAGUCCCAACCCCGUCACAAUCACCCAGCCCUAUUGUGCGCCCCCGGCUACCCUGCAGACUCUGGUCCGGACCAGACUGGGCCAGCCGGAGUGGCCUCCCUCCGAGUGGGAGAGUGAGGGACCCCUACAGGGAGCUAGUGGAAGGGGAAAUGGAGCCCCCUGGCACUCACAGAAACUCUCUCCCUCUCUCUGUGGAGCAGGGUCCUUCCCUCUGCCCCCCAAAUUCCUUUGUCUGGGGCAGGAGCUCUUUCCCUCACA